rnacentral:rRNA from 1 species
UGACGAGUUUGAUCCUGGCUCAGGAUGAACGCUAGCGGCAGGCUUAACACAUGCAAGUCGAGGGGUAUAGUUCUUCGGAGCUAGAGACCGGCGCACGGGUGCGUAACGCGUAUGCAAUCUACCUUUUACAGGGGAAUAGCCCAGAGAAAUUUGGAUUAAUGCCCCAUAGUAUAUAUCAUUCGCAUGUUUGAUAUAUUAAAGUUCCAACGGUAAAAGAUGAGCAUGCGUCCCAUUAGCUAGAUGGUAAGGUAACGGCUUACCAUGGCGACGAUGGGUAGGGGUCCUGAGAGGGAGACUCCCCCGACACUGAUACUGAGACACGGACCAGACUCGUACGGGAGCAGCAGUGA